CGGUUUGACGGUAGACCUAAAUGAAAUUAUGCUCAAUCGAAAGAGCUUGAAAAAAUAUCACUUUUGAAUCGAGAACAUGUAUCCGCAAAAUUCGUAUUGUCGAGUAUUUUGCAUUUAAAAGUGAAAAAAUUUCGACAAAGAAUGCAAAUGUUCAAUUUGUUGUUUGACAUUUGACAGCUCUAUGGUUUCGUUCAGAAAUUGUAAAUAUUUUUACGUCCGUCAUGCAUGUUGGACAGAUUGCUGGUGAGAGUGUGGGUAAGCCUAUUAAAAAAAAACGACUACUGUCAGUGUAAGAUGACACUGGUGACAGAUGACAUGUAUUGUGCAUUGAUUCAAUUGAUUGACGGGUAAAACCAUGGUAAAACCAAAACUUUGUGCUUUACCAGUCUGAAAUUAAUUAAUUUUCAGUAAAGGGUCUAAAUGUUUGUGACUAACCUAAGCCCUCCUACGUGUACACGCUCGACGCAGCUAGCCAACUUUAUUGUCACGCGUGCAAUAGAGUACCUAUUAAAGGCCAAGUUCGGCCUGGCCAGCCAGGGUUCACGCUAGACAACGUCAACGAUUUAUUUGGGGUCGCCGUCAUCGAAAACGAUGAGGAGGAGGAGGACUAUACUUACUAACGAUGACACGGCACCGCCGCGUAAAACAAACCUAUGCCGAAAAUCAUAGUUUCAAGUAUUUUGAAUGCUGUAGUUAGAAGACUGCCAGACAAAUGUGGAUUAAUAAGGUUGUGGAGAUAAAAAAAAAUACAUCCACACUACAGCAUCCGAAAUCUCAAAAUCAUUUGCUUCUAUAUCGAAGAGCUCUCUGGAUUUUUUUGAUGACUUUCCGGUCACUUAUCUUGACAUAAAUGCUGAAGGAAUUAAUUAUGUCACUUUAAAAGGAGACGAAGAGCGGGACAGUAUUAUAAAACAAAGUUAAACAUCACGGCCCGAAGACCACCCAAAUGAUGAAAAUGUAUUAACUAGGUUCAGUUCUUUUCAAAUUUGUAUUAAGGGGAGAAAAUCCAAAAUUAAAAUUCAGAUAAAAACUUUAAUGUUUUAAGAAAUUGUAAGUCAUUUCAAGUUUUAGACAUUUUGAAACAAAAAAAUGUUUUGAGAAGAAUGUGUUUGACAGAUGGUAAAGCUGCGGUUUCUUCUGGGAUGUGGGGAUGCAUAGCGAGGAAUGUGUUUGUAAGAACCAAUACAAAUUGUCCUCCAGGACUGCGCUCAGUGAGGAUAGGUAAUUGAAGUAAUUCUAAUAUUCACUCUAAAGAAACAAAUCUACCUCUCUACGCAUCCUUGCACAUCUCUGAUGGAAUCAUGGUCCUUGCUAAUCUUUGGUGGAAUACCUCAUAGCCUUACUAUACUUGGUUUUGUGAAAGGCUAACUUUAUAUGAUAUACUUAGUUUAAUUCGUUUAUUUAUAUGUAUUUAAUUCCAAAAGACUGAUUGUUGUAGUAAAUUGUACUAUUUUUAUAUAAGAUAUAUUUUUUGUAAAUUCAAGUAAAAAUAAAUAAAAAUAACGUCAGCAUGUCUUUUUAUAAAUCGUCAGGUGAAUUGAGAUGAAAUUGUACUCACAACUUCCAUACUGACAUUUUAGUGCCAUGAUGGGUGCAUGAAAUUUGGGUUCCCUCCUUUGAGAUGGAAAAGUGGGUUAGUCCGUUAGGGGCUAUUCAUAAAUUUCGUCAUUUCAAAUAAGGGGGAGGGGGUCUGG